CUGGAGCCCCCCAUCUUUAUUUUUAUUUUUGUAGAGAUGAAGUCUCACUAUAUUGCCCAGGCUGGCCUCGAACUCCUGGGCUCAAGCAAUCCUCCUGCCUCAGCCUUCCAAAGUGCUGGGAUUACAAGUGUGAGUGACCAUGCCUGGCCAACCCACAGCUUUCAAAGCAUGCUGAUUUCAAUUGAUAUUCUGAUGCAGCCUGACUGACUCGCGGAGAAAGCCUACUUACAAAUGAAGCCAGGAUUCCACAAAGAAGGUGGCGAGAAGAAAAAGGGCCAUUCUGGCCGGGCGCGGUGGUUCAAGCCCGUAAUCCCAGCACUUUGGGAGGCCGAGGCAGGUGGAUCACGAGGUCAAGAGAUCGGGACCAUCCUGGUCAACAUGGUGAAACCCCGUCUCUACUAAAAAUACAAAAAAUUAGCUGGGCAUGGUGGCACGUGCCUGUAAUCCCAGCUACUCAGGAGGCUGAGGCAGGAGAAUUGCCUGAACCCAGGAGGCAGAAGUUGCAGUGAGCCGAGAUCUCGCCAUUGCACUCCAGCCUGGGUAACAAGAGCGAAACUCCGUCUCAAAAAAAAAAAAAAAAAAAAAAAAAAAAAAAGAAAAGAAAAAGGGCCAUUCUGCCAUCAACCAGAUAGUGACCUGAGAAUACACCAUCGACGUUCAUAAGCACAUCCAUGGAGUGGGCUUCAAGAAGCAUGCCCCUCAGGCACCCAGACAGAUUCAGAAGUUUGCUAUGAAGGAGAUGGGAACUCCAGAUGUGCACAUUGAUACCAGGCUCAGCAAAGCUGUCUAGGCCAAAGAAAUAAGGAAUGUUCCAUACCUAAUCCAUCAAAUAAAGUUAUAAAAUUGCAAAAAAAAAAAUAAAUAAAUAAAAAGAAUGAAGCCAACACCAAGGAAAACAAAGGUAUCUGCAUGUGUAUGACAGAACAAGUGACAGAGUAACAGAAGUCGCACACAUGCUCAUGAAAUAGAGAUGCACACAGAGACCUGACAACAUCCUGUGCACCUAUAUCCAGCCAAAGCAUCCGGCAGAUUUAACUUAGGAUUUUCCAGAUACAUGAACCAAUAAAUUCCCUUUUUUGUUUAA